rnacentral:rRNA from 1 species
GACGAACGCUGGCGGCGUGCUUAACACAUGCAAGUCGAACGGUGAAAGCGGAGCUUGCUCCGCUGGAUCAGUGGCGAACGGGUGAGUAACACGUGGGCAACCUGCCCCUCACUUCGGGAUAACUCCGGGAAACCGGGGCUAAUACCGGAUAUGACCUCCUUGGGCAUCCUUGGAGGUGGAAAGUUUUUCGGUGAGGGAUGGGCCCGCGGCCUAUCAGCUUGUUGGUGAGGUAGUGGCUCACCAAGGCGACGACGGGUAGCCGGCCUGAGAGGGCGACCGGCCACACUGGGACUGAGACACGGCCCAGACUCCUACGGGAGGCAGCAGUGGGGAAUAUUGCGCAAUGGGCGAAAGCCUGACGCAGCAACGCCGCGUGCGGGAUGAAGGCCUUCGGGUUGCAAACCGCUUUCAGCAGGGAAGAAGCGAAAGUGACGGUACCUGCAGAAGAAGCACCGGCUAACUACGUGCCAGCCGCCGCAGUAA